AACAGGAUUAGAUACCCUGGUAGUCCUCUCCGUAAACGAUAAGUGCUAAGUGUUAGAGGGUUUCCGCCCUUUAGUGCUGCAGCAAACGCAUUAAGCACUCCGCCUGGGGAGUACGGCCGCAAGGCUGAAACUCAAAGGAAUUGACGGGGGCCCGCACAAGCGGUGGAGCAUGUGGUUUAAUUCGAAGCAACGCGAAGAACCUUACCAGGUCUUGACAUCUCCUGACAACCCUAGAGAUAGGGCGUUCCCCUUCGGGGGACAGGAUGACAGGUGGUGCAUGGUUGUCGUCAGCUCGUGUCGUGAGAUGUUGGGUUAAGUCCCGCAACGAGCGCAACCCUUGAUCUUAGUUGCCGGCAUUCAGUUGGGCACUCUAAGGUGACUGCCGGUGACAAACCGGAGGAAGGUGGGGAUGACGUCAAAUCAUCAUGCCCCUUAUGACCUGGGCUACACACGUGCUACAAUGGAUGGUACAAAGGCUGCAAGACCGCGAGGUUAAGCGAAUCCCAUAAAACCAUUCUCAGUUCGGAUUGCAGGCUGCAACUCGCCUGCAUGAAGCUGGAAUCGCUAGUAAUCGCCGAUCAACAUGCCGCGGAGAAAAC
rnacentral:rRNA from 1 species